UGACAGGUUCUAAAGACUCUUUUCUGGUCCC
rnacentral:piRNA from 1 species